CAAUAGCGUAUAUUAAAGUUGUUGCGGUUAAAAAGCUCGUAGUUGGAUUUCUGUCUGGCGCGCUCAGUCCACACUACGUGUGAGAAUCUGUUCCGCGUCGGGCAUCUUCCUGAGGAACGGGACUGCUAUUGAUUUAGUGGUCUCGGAACUCUGGACGUUUACUUUGAGGAAAUUAGAGUGUUCCAGGCAUGCAUUUGCAUUGAAUACAUUAGCAUGGAAUAAUGAGAUAGGACUCUUGUGCUAUUUAUUGGUUUGUAGCGUGGGAGUAAUGAUUAAUAGGGAUAGUUGGGGGCGAUUCGUAUUUAACUGUCAGAGGUGAAAUUCUUGGAUUUGUUAAAGACGAACUACUGCGAAAGCAUUUGCCAAGGAUGUUUUCAUUGAUCAAGAACGAAAGUUAGGGGAGUCGAAGAUGAUCAGAUACCAU
rnacentral:rRNA from 1 species